rnacentral:lncRNA from 1 species
UUUUUUUUUUUUUUUCUGAAAGGAAUCAGCAAACACAAGAGUUUAAAGACCAGAAAGAGGCCCCUUUCCUCCAAAGCAUUACAAACCGAUACUGUUCCUGACUGAUUUUUCAUAAGAAAUGAUUAGCCUUUCAUUUUUGGGUAGAAAGGAUUCUCCCUAUUUAAAAAAAAAAAAUCCAUGUGUAUAUUCACUCAUAGUUGCAUGUGCCAGCCUAACCUGUUGAAUAAAAAAAAAAAAAAAAAAAAAAAAAAAAAAAAAAAAACAUGGUCACUGAGAAAGCUGAGGAUGUAUGGGGCAAAGAUCAAGAAAUCAGAAAGCUUUGAGGUUCAUGAUUGUUUUUUAUUUCCAUUGACAUUCAUUCUCUUUAAAAACACAUUUGCACUGACACAGAGACACACAUCAUACUGAGACUCUCAAUGCCAGCGAUGCACAGCACACACGAGAUGUGGAAGCAUACUGUUCUGCUCAUACCUUGCCAUGUCUACCUUAUUCCUCCUCUCGUCCUUCACUUCUGCUGCUGCAGCCUGAUCUUCUGCAUUUCCCUUUUCUUCAUCCAUGCCACCUCUGGGUACAGCUGGAAUAACUGCUCUUGAGGGUGCUGUGAGUGAGUAAGCUCAUCUCUUCCUUCUCUUGAAGACCAUAGGGAUAACCAAAACUGAUCCAUCCCUUCAUUCCCACCCAUGAGGCACCUCGGAGUUUAAAGCAUUCGGGUUGGGCUGGACAGCAAGUGAAGUUGUCUCUUUUUUUUCAAGCAGAGAGUGGGAGGAAAGUUUUAAAAGAAGAGUUGCACACUUCAGAAGGUCAGCACGUAGCGUGUCACACUUAAGAAGAAGAUAAUAAAAGAAGCUGCUCCUUUAACUAACCCUCAGAUCUUACAGUUCUCUAAGCUUUCAUGGUCUUAGACACUUUGAUUCAAAUCCCAGUUCAAACCUAGGCUGGCUCCGUCUUUCCUGAGCAUAAAAGCCUAGGCAAAUUAUAGCUAUUCUGUGUGCCAUAUGACACGCAGAGACCCUUAACUUAGAUCAUUGUGACUGCCUCCCUCUGCAGCUUGUGGAGACACCAGGGCACUGGAUACAGAAUUGUUAGGAAAUGGAACAAACCAAACAGUUGUCUCUCGGUGAGAACAAGAGUACUCACACACCCACAGCCCCCUUCCAAGUUCCCUCCUGCAAUGCAUGAACUGGACAAGCUUGAGAAACGGGGCUCUGGGGUAAACCUGACCUGAGGCAGGAAGGUUUCAAUGACAGCAAAUCACAUACCAUCAUAAGAUACGAUUUUAAAUUAUUGCAUUUGUCAAUAUGCUUUUCUGCUUUUAUCAUUUUUCAUGUUCCUUGGGAAAUUUUCACAUCCUUAGGACAUUCACAAAGUGAAGAAAUGUCUCAGGCUCUACAAGAUUUUGGAUGUAAAGAUUUUAACUCAAAUUCUGUAUAACGUGUGGUUCUGAAAGUUAUAGGGAGAUAGGUAGAAGACCUAAACCAUGCCUCUGGAGUCCUCUGGAAAGUAAUGCCUGAAAUUAAAACUGCAGAGAAUAGAAUCAAAGGAAGAUUAAAUAAU